UACUCAAAUAGAAGUGAGGAACAGCUGAGCGCGUUCCUCUGUGAUGUGGCGACCUCUCAUGGUGUCUGAGCUCCUGGUCCUGCGCGUUCAAAGCGAAAGAUCUCAGCAGUGCCUCUUCUUGACAGCCGACGAAAACUUCACCCGGGGCAAAAAGUCGAGUGAUGCAUGGAUAGGACAGAUCAAAACAAAAGAGAUAAACCCAUACUGUCCCUCCCCCACUGAGUCCUCUUACUCCACCUCUCUCUUUCUCUCUCUCUCUCUCUAUUCUGAAAGUGCUUUCUGUUCAUAAGACAGUCAAUAGAGACAGGGCAACCUUGAGCAGGUGCAGAGGACAGUCAAACUGGACACUAGCUUCUGUAUUUGACCUACGAUCUGCCACCCCUGAGGAGCGUCUGCAUUCACCCAAUGUGAGGAUCAUCUAUCAGUCGCUGUCACAUAUGCACUGGGUCUGUCCUGUCUGUUGAAUCUGCACCUGUUCCUUGAUCCAGUAGGGGACAGGAACUCAGUUCAUUAAGGACCCUGAGCACCCAUCACCCUGAACCCCAGCAGACCCGUCACACUGUCUCACUCCUCUGAUUCUGUCCCUUCUCCACCUGCCCAUCGCUCUCAUCCCUCCCUGGAGCUCUCAGGGGCCUUCACCCUCCAUGGAGAGCAAGGAGAGGGACGCC